CCCUGAACACAGAAAAGUUCAGUAAAGUAUUUUUAAAGCAAUCUAAGCCUUCUGAACUUAUUCUAAUCAAAUAACUUCAUCACAAAUGAUCUUUUCUUCAUACCUUAGGUGCCGAACUUUACGAGUGAGUCUUUUUCCUUCAAUUUAGAUAUUUUCUUUAAUCUUCUGCAAUCAACUCUUCAAGACUCCAUUCAACAUUACGAAAUCUGCCAACCUAUAAAAUCCUUAACAGAUUGCGGAACCGAGAAAUUCCUUACAUGA
rnacentral:lncRNA from 1 species